rnacentral:rRNA from 1 species
UGGCGGUAUGCUUAACACAUGCAAGUCGAACGGUCUUUUCGGAGAUAGUGGCGGACGGGUGAGUAACGCGUAAGAAUCUACCUUCAGGUUGGGGACAACCACUGGAAACGGUGGCUAAUACCGAAUGUGCCGAGAGGUGAAAGGCUUGCUGCCUGAAGAAGAGCUUGCGUCUGAUUAGCUAGUUGGUGGGGUAAGAGCCUACCAAGGCGACGAUCAGUAGCUGGUCUGAGAGGAUGAUCAGCCACACUGGGACUGAGACACGGCCCAGACUCCUACGGGAGGCAGCAGUGGGGAAUUUUCCGCAAUGGGCGAAAGCCUGACGGACCAAUACCGCGUGAGGGAGGAAGGCUCUUGGGUUGUAAACCUCUUUUCUCAGGGAAGAAGAAAGUGACGGUACCUGAGGAAUAAGCAUCGGCUAACUCCGUGCCAGCAGCCGCGGUAAUACGGAGGAUGCAAGCGUUAUCCGGAAUGAUUGGGCGUAAAGGGUCCGCAGGUGGCAUUGUAAGUCUGCUGUUAAAGAGUUUGGCUCAACCAAAUAAAAGCAGUGGAAACUACAAAACUAGAGUAUGGUCGGGGCAGAGGGAAUUCCUGGUGUAGCGGUGAAAUGCGUAGAUAUCAGGAAGAACAUCGGUGGCGAAGGCGCUCUGCUAGGCCAAGACUGACACUGAGGGACGAAAGCUAGGGGAGCGAAUGGGAUUAGAUACCCCAGUAGUCCUAGCCGUAAACGAUGGAUACUAGGCGUAGCUCGUAUCGACCCGAGCUGGGCCGUA